rnacentral:rRNA from 1 species
CCUACGGGGAGCAGCAGUGAGGAAUAUUGGUCAAUGGGCGCGAGCCUGAACCAGCCAAGUAGCGUGAAUGAUGACUGCCCUACGGGUUGUAAACUUCUUUUAUAAAGGAAUAAAGUGAGGCACGUGUGCCUUUUUGUAUGUACUUUAUGAAUAAGGAUCGGCUAACUCCGUGCCAGCAGCCGGGGUAAUCCGGAGGAUCCGAGCGUUAGCCGGAUUUAUUGGGUUUAAAGGGAGCGUAGAUGGGUGGUUAAGUCAGAUGGUAAAGUUUGCGGGUCAACCGUAAAAUUGCGAUUGAUACUGGCAGUCUUGAGUACAGUUGAGGUAGGCGGAAUUCGUGGUGUAGCGGUGAAAUGCUUAGAUAUCACGAAGAACUCCGAUUGCGAAGGCAGCUUACUAAACUGCCACUGACAUUGAUGCUCGAAAGUGUGGGUAGCAAACAGGAUUAGAUACCCGAGUAGUC